rnacentral:tRNA from 1 species
AUAUGCUCAAGUGGUAGAGUGCUUGUCUAGCAAGCAUGUGGCUCUGAGUUCAAUCCUCAGUAU